GAUCGUUUAGACAGUUCUCAGGAUUGUGGAAGAAAUCUGGGCAUGAGGGCCGUGUCCAGCUUUUGUGCUUAGGGCUGCUCUCAGAAGGAUUUUCAUCUCUGCACAUUAGGCAAAUAGAUCUCUGAGUGGUCCUCCCCUAAGCAGUGUCCCCUAAAGGCAAAAUUGAGCUGUUCACCUGGAAGGAGGAAAAGGAGGGUUUUGUGAACACAGAUGAGGAUGAGGGGUGGGGGCUGUCCCACUCACUGUGAUGCCCCCAUGGGCGAGGUCUGGGCUACUCCUUCCUUAUAAGAGCUGUUCCUCCCUUGUUCUAGCCUUUGGAUCUGCCUAGGAACAGCCUCUUCAUUCUUGGCUCUGACUCCCUGAGCACAGUGAGUGGUCCAGAAAUAAGCACGAUCAAUCAAAAUUCGUCCCUAGGAUUUAGCCAACUGCAUGUGGGGAAAAUGGUCUCUCUGGUCUGAGGACUAUGAGGUGUAAGAGACGCUGAAGAACUAUAAAGUGUCCACUGUGGCCCUCCGUGUCCCUGUCCACUGUAGCUUGCACACCCUCUUGCACAUGACUUCAGCCCCUCACUGUUCCUUCCACUUCUCUUAGUAAAAUCCAAAUUGUCCAAACACGGCUGUUCAUUAACCAGAAUAAUUGCUCCCUUCCCUGAGUACCACCCUUGAACAAAUAUUCUUGAAACUAGCUGAACUUCAGCUGACCCUGCCUGCUGAAGCCUUAUACAAGAUUCCACCUCCUUCUCAAGUUAGAACGCUCCUUCUCAUGCCGACAGUUUUGAAAAAGACUUAUGCUAAUGGUGCUCUUGUUUUUUUCCACAGAGAAUAUGAGUAAGAGGUGCUGAGAUGCUAGCAGCCGGACCACAACUGAAGGAGAAGGCAGCCUGGGAGAGUGAAAUUAACAUGGGAACAGGUGCUGGAGAGCAUUUGCAUAUUCAGCCUCUCCUGAGGAGCUGAACACACAGGAAACACUGAGAAAUGUUGCUGCUU
rnacentral:lncRNA from 1 species